rnacentral:tRNA from 1 species
CCCUUGAAAUAGGCGGCGAAGGCACGGUCGAACUUGUCGAAGUGGGCCUCGUCCUUGACCAGCGUCGUGCGGGCCAGGAAGUAGAACUGC